UGCAGUCGACGAUGAUGCCCAGCUUGCUGGGUGGAUUAGUGGCGAACGGGUGAGUAACACGUGAGUAACCUGCCCCUGACUCUGGGAUAAGCGUUGGAAACGACGUCUAAUACUGGAUAUGAUCACCGGCCGCAUGGUCUGGUGGUGGAAAGAUUUUUUGGUUGGGGAUGGACUCGCGGCCUAUCAGCUUGUUGGUGAGGUAAUGGCUCACCAAGGCGACGACGGGUAGCCGGCCUGAGAGGGUGACCGGCCACACUGGGACUGAGACACGGCCCAGACUCCUACGGGAGGCAGCAGUGGGGAAUAUUGCACAAUGGGCGAAAGCCUGAUGCAGCAACGCCGCGUGAGGGAUGACGGCCUUCGGGUUGUAAACCUCUUUUAGUAGGGAAGAAGCGACUGAGUUUACUCUGAGUGACGGUACCUGCAGAAAAWGCACCGGCUAACUACGUGCCAGCAGCCGCGGUAAUACGUAGGGUGCAAGCGUUGUCCGGAAUUAUUGGGCGUAAAGAGCUCGUAGGCGGUUUGUCGCGUCUGCUGUGAAAUCCCGAGGCUCAACCUCGGGCUUGCAGUGGGUACGGGCAGACUAGAGUGCGGUAGGGGAGAUUGGAAUUCCUGGUGUASCGAUGGAAUGCGCAGAUAUCAGGACGAACACCGAUGGCGAAGGCAGAUCUCUGGGCCGUAACUGACGCUUAGGAGCGAAAGCAUGRGGAGCGAACAGGAUUAGAUACCCUGGUAGUCCAUGCCGUAAACGUUGGGCGCUAGAUGUAGGGACCUUUCCACGGUUUCUGUGUCGUAGC
rnacentral:rRNA from 1 species